CAGCCGGUAGACAAGUUUCACAUGUCGGCUUCACUUCUGUUGCUUUCCUAUCACAGCAUCACUCGUUGAGGAAACAUAAAUCCGAGGGUUGUAAAAGGUUAAGAAGUCUGCUUUGAAGUUCCGUCGACGGCUAGAGAAGAGGAGGAGGGUACCGUCUGUGGAGAGGGCGGAGCUCGGCGGAGGAAGGACCCCGGAGCGGAGGCGUGUCUGUCGGUGCUGGAGAGAGGGACCAGCCGGCCAAAGACCCGAGUUGUAAAAAGCAGGUGAGAGAGAUGAGCAGCACGGCCACGAAGGCUCCGCCACCAACCCCGACCUUCAGCCACAGAGCGAUGGCCUCACACGGAGAGGAGGUCCUGGGAGGCAGCGGUAGGCCUUUGGUGCACAGCUUCGGCUCGUUCCACAAGAACAGAGUUUCCUGCGCGGUGACAGAUGGAGAAUUUCCAAAUUUUUGCUUGUGCAAGCAGAGAUUUGGCAUUAUAAGUCAAAUAACGGUGUAUAUGGUUUUAUUUUUGAGGUUAGUUAGAGCUGGGCAAUAGGGAAAAUAAAAAAUCUGGAUAUUUUUGACCAAAUAAAUUAAUGUUGAUAUUGAGGCGAAAUUGUAGUGUUGAAAAUUGGUGCUUUCAAAAAAUAUUUACGCAAUAGGAUUUCUGAUAAAUAAUCAUCAGUUAUUUGGAUAUAAUGACUAAAUAGGUUAAGGCAAAUAAUGGAACAGCUAUAACAGUGUGGUUAGUUCAGAAAAUGACAUCGCUGUACUGUGAUACAGCCUUUAAAACCGG